rnacentral:rRNA from 1 species
GUGGGGAAUAUUGGACAAUGGGGGGAACCCUGAUCCAGCCAUGCCGCGUGUGUGAAGAAGGCCUUUUGGUUGUAAAGCACUUUAAGCGAGGAGGAGGCUACCGAGAUUAAUACUCUUGGAUAGUGGACGUUACUCGCAGAAUAAGCACCGGCUAACUCUGUGCCAGCAGCCGCGGUAAUACAGAGGGUGCACGCGUUAAUCGGAUUUACUGGGCGUAAAGCGCGCGUAGGUGGCCAAUUAAGUCAAAUGUGAAAUCCCCGAGCUUAACUUGGGAAUUGCAUUCGAUACUGGUUGGCUAGAGUAUGGGAGAGGAUGGUAGAAUUCCAGGUGUAGCGGUGAAAUGCGUAGAGAUCUGGAGGAAUACCGAUGGCGAAGGCAGCCAUCUGGCCUAAUACUGACACUGAGGUGCGAAAGCAUGGGGAGCAAACAGGAUUAGAAACCCCGGUAGUCC